GCAAAGGUAGCAUAAUCAAUUGACUUCUAAUUAAAGCCGAGUAUGAAAGGGGCCAUGGGGGGUAACUGUCUCUUAUUAAUAAGACUGAACUUACUUAAAAGGUGAAAAUUCCUUUCAUUUUUUCAUUAGACGAGAAGACCCUUAGAAUUAUAAUUAAUCACAUAAUUUGUUGAAAAUUUUUGUUGGGGCAACAGUUAUGAGAACCAUAAUUUAUUUAUUAAACAAGUCAAUUUUUUAUAAUUAAGUUUUAAUUACCUUAGGGAUAACAGCAUAAUUAAUUUAUUAGUUUAUGACCUCGAUGUUGGAU
rnacentral:rRNA from 1 species